ensembl:lincRNA Gm42470 predicted gene 42470
AGGCUGGCCUCGAACUCAGAAAUCUGCCUGCCUCUGCCUCCCAAGUGCCAGGAUUAAAGGCGUGCGCCACCACGCCCGGCUGCUAUUUGCUUUUAAGCAGGUCUGAUUCUAUUUGCUUUCUCACAAAUUAAGUGUCGGACAAAUCGAAUCUUAACGCCUUUGCCCACAACCCAGCCGGCUCACUCGCUGUACAGGUGCUCCAGAUCAAGGGGCGUGGACUUCUGUAUCAACUCAGCAUUGAUUGGUUCUCA